UCCUCGAUGGCGGAGUGGUUAACGCACCUAACCAUAGAUUGGGAGAUCGCAGGUUCGAUUCCUGCUUGAGGGCAU